GACGAACGCUGGCGGCGUGCUUAACACAUGCAAGUCGAACGGUGAAGCGAGUGCUUGCACUCGUGGAUCAGUGGCGAACGGGUGAGUAACACGUGAGUAACCUGCCCAUCACUCUGGGAUAAGCACUGGAAACGGUGUCUAAUACUGGAUACGACCAACCCUUGCAUGGGGUGUUGGUGGAAAGAUUUAUCGGUGAUGGAUGGACUCGCGGCCUAUCAGCUUGUUGGCGGGGUAAUGGCCCACCAAGGCGACGACGGGUAGCCGGCCUGAGAGGGUGACCGGCCACACUGGGACUGAGACGCGGCCCAGACUCCUACGGGAGGCAGCAGUGGGGAAUAUUGCACAAUGGGCGAAAGCCUGAUGCAGCGACGCCGCGUGAGGGAUGACGGCCUUCGGGUUGUAAACCUCUUUCAGCAGGGAAGAAGCGAAAGUGACGGUACCUGCAGAAGAAGCACCGGCCAACUACGUG
rnacentral:rRNA from 1 species